AGCAGAGUAGCUCAGUGGAAGCAUGCUGGGCUCAUAACCCAGAGGUCCAUAGAUUGAAACUAUGCUCUGCUA
rnacentral:tRNA from 1 species